ensembl:lncRNA
GCCCCAUAGUUUCUAAAUUUCUACAAAUCUCCUUGUUAUUUUUAAAAUCAAUACCAUUGUUAUUUUCUGGAGAGGCCACUCAUUACUGGCCCAACUGAAAGUGUUUAGGCUUGACAAGCAAAACCAAGCCCCACCUAGAGGAACACAGGUGAAAUGAAUUAAGCUAGUUUUCCAGUAAAGAGAGAGAGAAACCAGGAAGGGGAUAACACAUUUCUUUAGCUUCUUCCUCUGCUGAAGGAAACUUACACUGUGAGAAGAGGCUAUGUGGUCUUUUGCAACGAUGCAGCCUUAGACUAAGGGCUUGAGAGGUGUGGGAUAAAAGUCUGGGACAUCUUGAGUCAAGCUAUUUUAAACUUUUGUCAGAAAAAGUGCCUUAGAAAUCCCCGCUUACAGCAAGUAUCAAAUCCUGCGAGACUGGAGCACCACCUGAACUUGGCCUUCUUCCUACGUGUGGUUUGCCAGUGGCUCUGUGACAAGUACAAGACCUGGAAGAAACCUCCAUCCUCAAAGACUUGGAAAAGGCUGUCCUGGAGCCUGCGUGGAGGUUACAAAAAUCAUCCCUCUGGUGGUGGCCUGAGCAGAUUACUUCAACCCCAAUGUUGCCCUGAACGUUGCAUUCAAGAUUUGAGAAGAUUAGGACUGCUAAGAGGACAGGCUCCAGGGCACAUGGGCCCAAUACCUGCUGCACACAUGCUUAUUCGCCACGUGGAAUGUUGGAUCUUCCAGGACCAGGAGUCGAAACUUGUGUCCCCUGCAUUGGCAGGCAGAUUCCUAACCCCUGGAGUGCCAGGGAAGCCCAAGUUUAUUUUUUUAGUAGGUACUAUUUAUCAGGCUAAGCAAGAUUCUGUUCCUAAUGAAAUAAGAAAUUGUACUCUUUUCCCUAAGAAAAUGAAACUGAAGUCGCUCAGUCAUGUCCAACUCUAUGCAACUCUAUGGGCUAUAGCCUACCAGUCUCCUCUGUCCAUGGGGAUUCUCCAGGCAAGAAUACUAGAGUAGGUUGCCAUUUCCUUCUCCAGAGGAUCUUCCCGACCCAGGGAUCAAACCUGGGUCUCCCACAUUGCAGGCAGACUCUACCCUCCGGGCCACCAUGGAAGCUCUCUUUUCCCUAAAUAUUUGCUAAAUUCUAUCACUUUUUAAGUAUCAAUUGGAAUAAUCAUAUUGAUUUUUCUCUUUAAAUCUGAUAUUACUGUGAAAAGCAGUUCUGCAUUUUCUAAUAAUAAACCAUUCUCACAUAGUUGAGAUAAAUCCAAUUUUAUCAUGGUUAUCAUAAUACAUUAUAGUAAUAUGUUGGAUUCAUGUUGGUAAGUGUUUUUAAGCGAUUUUAAACUGUUUAUUAAUUAGUGUGGUAGACUUCUUAUUUUUCUUUCACAGAUUGUUUUGGUGUUUGGUGUCAGGCUAAAACUGAUGUGGUGUUAGGCUAAAAUUCACCGGAGUCUCCUUUUCCGCUAAACGGGGAAAGAUAUGUGAAAUUUUAAUGUGUUCCUUGAAAUUUUUGUAGCACUCAAAUGUGAAAUCACUGUCUAGUUUCCACUGAAGGGCUAGAUUCUUAGGUCAGUUUGGUAACUUAUUUUUCUAGGUAUUUUAUUUAGGUUUUCAAAAUUGUUCACAUAAAGUCAUUGUUAGUUCUUUUGGCUGCUUUAAUAGUCCUACUUUUUCUGUCAUGUCCUAUCUGCAGUUAUGAUAGUUUUUAUUUAUGUUUUCUCUCUUUUCUUGAUCAAUCUUGACAGAGGUUUGUUUAUUUUGUUAAUUUUUGUAAAUAAUCAACUUUUGGCUUUAUUGAACUAUAUUGUAUUCUAUUUUAUUAAAUCUAACAUUUAUUACCUCUAUUUCCCUUGUUCUGAAUUGUUAUUUUUUUGUAAAUUUAUAAGUUGAACACUUAGUUUAGUAAUUGAGACUUAUUUUCUAUUAAGUAUUUUUUUGUAGAAAUGUAAAUUCAUGAGGUAGUGAAAAUAUCUCCAAUACACAGAAAAUGCUGGUUUUACUCUUAUGCACCUAAAUAUGCUUUUGUUUUUUCUGUGCAUCUGUUCAUUCAGCAGACACUGAAAGAC